AUACAUGCCCGGCAGGAAAAUACCAUGAUUAGGAAGGUGGUUUUCUCAAGGUGUGGCUCAUUUAUUGCAUUCCAGAUGUGCUGACUAUGCAGCUUCUCCAAACAUGGGAAAUUUGACUGCAUUAUCUAUAUGAGUGGAAAACUGUGUCCAUGCUCCCUCCUC
ensembl:snRNA U1 U1 spliceosomal RNA